rnacentral:lncRNA from 1 species
CACAAGCAAGACUGGAGAGUGAGAUGCUUGGGGCAUGAUGUUUUGGGUAGUGACAAGGUUUGCUCAACUUUCAGAGCGGUUUUAGACAGAAAUAUGGUGCCGGCAGGAAAUAUUUGCCUUCUAUGGCAACCCCUAUGCUUCACUGUUGAGAAAUUUUGUUGGGCCGUUCUGUACGACAACUAUUCAAGCAACUUUAGGCUUGUCACUUGUAUUGUACUUACAAAUAUAAACAUAAAAUUGAUAUCUUUUUGCUAGUGGGGUCUCAUUUGUACUUUCAUAUAUAUGUCAAGGUGAUUGAUUUUAGAUUUUAUUAUUAUUAAUAUAUUAUUAUUUGUUGUACGUGUGUGGCUAGAAAGGAUUGAUUUUGGUUGUUGGUAGUGAUGGUUUACUAUGUAUUAAUUUGUUAAACAAGUAAUCAUUUCUUGUCACUCAUGGUAUUAAGCAAGGGGAAUCUUUUCUUGUCACUGAUUUGUGACACCAAGCGAGCAGCAAUAUUUUCAUAUUUCACUCUCUUCUAUAGUUAUAUAUAUAGAGCUUCUAUUAUUUGAGGAAUACCCUUCGAGGGUCCACUCCGUAUUGUAUUUUAUUAAUCCAAACUAUCUAUUUUUUAUAUAAUCAUUCAAAU